AUGGAUCCGCGCUGCAUUAGCUAGUUGGUAAGGUAACGGCUUACCAAGGCAACGAUGCAUAGCCGACCUGAGAGGGUGAUCGGCCACACUGGAACUGAGACACGGUCCAGACUCCUACGGGAGGCAGCAGUAGGGAAUCUUCCGCAAUGGGCGAAAGCCUGACGGAGCAACGCCGCGUGAGUGAUGAAGGUCUUCGGAUCGUAAAACUCUGUUAUUAGGGAAGAACAUAUGUGUAAGUAACUGUGCACAUCUUGACGGUACCUAAUCAGAAAGCCACGGCUAACUACGUGCCAGCAGCCGCGGUAAUACGUAGGUGGCAAGCGUUAUCCGGAAUUAUUGGGCGUAAAGCGCGCGUAGGCGGUUUUUUAAGUCUGAUGUGAAA
rnacentral:rRNA from 1 species